UUGGUUGGUACACUACGUAUCAUUAAAAGGGAAUUUUGUGAAAUACAAAAGCUGUUCCCGCAACUGUAAGUCAUCCACAAUAGAUGGAUCGUGUUUUCUUAUACCACUGCUCGCCUUUGCGAAUGGGAAGGUUACACAAUGACAAGCCAGGAGACCUGCCUAGAUUCA
rnacentral:ncRNA from 1 species